rnacentral:lncRNA from 1 species
UGCAUAACCAUGAUUACACUUAAAAUUGCAUAUCAUUUGCUUGGAGCGAAGACUGUAGCUCCUUGCCCUGUCCCAUUCAACACCAAAGGCAUGUGCACUUGCAUGUGUGAAGGUUAUUUUCCGACUCUAUUGUGUAAUAAGCCCCUCAGUCCUCAGAUCCACUGGUAGUUAUAUUGCCUUACUCCUUCAGAGGGAAAGGAGAGGGAGAUUAUUUUGUAUCCUAUCAUUAAUUUGAAAUUCUAUAUUAUGGAUACUUUCUGAUGUUAGAAGCAUUAUUUGUGUCCU